AUGGCGUCCGGCAGUAACUGGCUGUCUGACGUGAAUGUCGUGCUGGUGAUGGCCUACGGGAGCCUGGUGUUCAUACUGCUAUUUAUUUUUGUGAAGAGGCAAAUCAUGCACUUUGCAAUGAAAUGCCGAAGGGGACCUCAUGUCCCUGUGGGACACAAUGCCCCCAAGGACUUAAAAGAGGAGAUUGAUAUCCGACUGUCCAAGGUUCAGGAUAUCAAGUAUGAACCUCAGCUUCUCGCAGAUGAUGAUGCAAGACUGCUACAGCUGGAAACCCAGGGAAAUCAAAAUUGCUACAACUACCUAUACAGGAUGAAAGCUCUGGAUGCUAUCCGUGCCUCUGAGAUCCCAUUUUAUGCUGAAGGCCAGCAUCCCCAUUCCUUAAUGGGCAAGAAUUUCUGCUCCUACCUGCUAGAUCUUUGAAACACUAGUACUCCUUUCAAGGGUGUAUGCAAGGCCCUCACUGAUACCCUGCUUGAUGGCUAUGAGACAGCCCGCUAUGGGACAGGGGUCUUUGGCCUGAGUACCUGCGCUAUCAGGUGGCCCUGAGUGAGCUGGCCACAGUGGUCAAAGCACGAAGUGGGAGCUCUCGGCAACAGCACCAGUCAGCAGCCAAAGACCUAACCCAGUCUCCUGAAGUCUCCCCAGCAACCAUCCAGGUGACAUAGCUCCCCUCCAGUCAGAAGAGUAAACGUGCCAAGCACUUCCUCAAAUUGAAGAGCUUUAAGGACAACUAUAACACACUGGAGAGUACUGUGAUGGAGCUGAAGGCCUCUCACUGUUGACGGAGCCAGGCAGACUGAAGUGUGCUUGCCGGGUGGCCCUCACUCAGGUCAUCUGGUUCAGCCCAGCUCUGGAUCAGCUGAAGCUCUGGUUGUGUUCAGAGCUCCUAAGAUUUCAUGCCUAGAGGAUCAUUCUCCCACCCUCUCUUAUGGCCAGUUUCAGAACAUCAGUUAAGACUUUAUUUUCCCUCGGUAUGACUUUUCUCUGGAGUUGAAUUAGAUGUUUUCCUCAAUAUUUCUGUCAAAGCUUCCUUAAAAAUCCUCACUCGGUUUUUUGAUCAUGGUUCAUCUGUCCUUUUCCAGACUAUAAAUUUUCCCAAGGGUGACGGGGCUUGGUCUCUUGUCUUCUGUACACAGUUGAAUGGGAGCCAUUUGGUUUGAGACAUCUAAGAGUUGACUGGUGGAAAUGGCAUACAGAAUGGUGGGGAAAUUGGUGGAGGCCAUGAGUGGUACCUAGAACAACUUACCCUGGUGCUCCACUUAAACCAGAAUGUUAAUGGGAACAUUAACAAGUUCUCUAACAUGCAAGAAUCUGCCUUCCACUUUCAUUGUAUACUGUCAUGAAUAAGUUGAAAAAGGAAUGUUUUAACAUCUGAUAUAAUCCCAUCACUCCUUAUUUGUGGGAUCGUGUGAAGGAAUAGACCAAUAUCCUGAUCUGACUUUAUAAACCAUUUAAUGAAUAAUUAAAAAAUAAACCAUAUGAUUCAUUCCUC